rnacentral:rRNA from 1 species
UACGGGGGGGCAAGCGUUGUUCGGAAUUACUGGGCGUAAAGGGCUCGUAGGCGGCCAACUAAGUCAGACGUGAAAUCCCUCGGCUUAACCGGGGAACUGCGUCUGAUACUGGAUGGCUUGAGAUUGGGAGAGGGAUGCGGAAUUCCAGGUGUAGCGGUGAAAUGCGUAGAUAUCUGGAGGAACACCGGUGGCGAAGGCGGCAUCCUGGACCAACACUGACACUGAGGAGCGAAAGCCAGGGGAGCAAACGGG